UCCCUCACAGAGGAGGCUGAGCGCCCGCCUUGGAGAGGAAGGCCGUCCUUUGCGAGGCGGGCCGCCUCCGCAGACUUGGUCGUUGUCAUCUGGGGCACUCGGCCAGGGAAGGACUUCCUCUGAGCUGUAAUGAUCAACCCGGGUCGGGCGGAAUGUGUAACUAGGAGGCGGUGGCCGCAGGUGUCCAGCGGGAGGCCAGCGCUGCCGGCUGGGAGGCAGGCUGACCUGCCGGGGACGGAGCUUUCACUCCUCACCUACGGGGCCCUCGCCGGUGAGGCUGAGCUGGCGUCCGGGGAAAGCUGACACAAUCUCAGGAUGUACCUGUUCCGAAGAGUCCCUAGAAAACUGUAGUCAUCGCCCCUCUGCACUCCACUUUAGGGGAAUGUGGCCUUUGGACAGGAAGCAUCUCUUGGCCCUCAGCCGCGGGUGCAUUUUCUACGGGUAGGAGUCGUUGGUUGAAUAUUUUGAUGUAAGGAGCACAGCUGAAUUCAGAAUCCCCUUCUGUUGGCAAUGUAGGGAUAAACAGGAAGAGAUUUUUGGAUGGGAUUUUGCUCCAUUGGAGCAUGAUCAGGACCACGUGGUAUCGCAUAAGACUCAACCUUGUUCAAAAGACACAGAAGAAUACUGAGGGGAUGCCCUGGCUAAACUCCCAAGUGACUUGGAUGGUGGGGGCAAUGCCAGAAAAUACAUUUUAUUCAAGUCCAUUUGAGUAUGUCCUCCAAAUUGGCAUCAGUCCUUCCCUAGGGUCAUUCCUCUCCUCCCCAGCGGCUGUCUGGCUCUACAUGGUUCCUCUCUCUGAUUCUCCUAGAAAAUAGAUACUCUGCUUCUACAUCACAGAGGAGCCCUUCCCCCGCCCCCUCCCCGCUGAGCAAUGUGCUAGGAACUGUAAUUCUCUAGGAUUAUUUUGUAUGUAUCCCUGGUUCAGUGGCCGGAACACAUUGUUGCUUUCUUCAGGUUAGGUUUGAUCUACACUGCUGAGUAUAGUAGUCUUCCUCUGUUUAGAGCUAUUUCAGAAGAAAGAUGGUGAUCCCAUUCUUUACAUCUAAGUGUUCUUGUCAGGAACUUCUGUGGAUGACAAGAAAGAAAUCAACGAAUUAUUGAAACUGGACCUGAUGAACUGUGAAACCUGGACAGGGUGACAGAAAUAAAAAUUAAAUGACUGUUUCAAAAGUGAGAGCAGUUUUCCUUAGAAGACGAAUACUUAGAUGAGCCUUCAGGAAAGACUGUUUGUUUUGGAAAAACCACCCUGGAGAAGCCAUUUUUGUUUUAGUUUGCAAAUAUAAAGCCAAACAUCACAACUGGAAGGGGAAAUACUCAAGAACUGAGGUUUGAAGGAGUCAGGCUUACUUGAAUAAUAAUGUGAAAGGUGAUUUGCAUCUCAGCAACUUUUGAAUCUCCGAGAGAAAAUACGUUUCUCCUAAGUGUUCUUGGAGACUGCUUUGAUUCUGAGGGAAGGCUUCCAUAAGCCAAGGCACACUGGAGCUACUUCUGAGGGAAAUGAAGGGAGAAGGAUUUCUUCCAAAAUAGAUACUGCCUCCUCCUCAGGCUGCCUGCCCCACUCCCUCGUCCUGGCAGAGACUCGGCUCCGCGUGCUGUUGGCAGACCCAGGCUGACCCAAGGCUCAGCUGUGCGUGGACUCCCACCAUCUCUGGGGCAGAAGAAGGACAUGGCGCCACGCGAGUAGCUUGUGAGGACCAACUGGGAGCUGACAGAAUCGCUUUCAUUGACGUUUCACAGGUCAAAGCAAGUGGUGUGGUUACAGCUCAGGCGGAGAGCACGAUGUCAUUCUUGCUCCAGAGGGAGAGAAGAGAGAGGGCUGUGGAGAGACAUUUCCCUGCCCUCCCCUGCCACCUCCGCCCCUGGGACUCUCACCUGUGCAGGCAGCUCUUUCUGCUUUUAUUUUGAACAAUUGCACUGAAGUAUAACUGACAUUUAAACUACAUACUUCAGUGAUUUUUGGUGUCUGUGUAUACCUGUUGUCACUGCUACUUGGAUGUCCCUGCUUCCAAGCCUUUAAGGUGGACAGAGGCAUUUUUUAAUGAUUCUGUUUCAUCUGCUUUUUGCUUAUUAGGAAUAAAUACAUGUGAGAUUAUGCUCGUGGUUGUUUUAGGGUCUUUAGUGGUAGUUUAGUGGUUGUUUUAGGUCUUGGGGCUUCCCUGGUGGCUCAGAUGAUGAAGAAUCUGCUUGUAGUGCAGAAGCCCUGGGUUCAAUCCCUGGGUCGGGAAGAUCCCCUGGAGAAGGGAAUGGCUACCCACCCCAGUAUUCUUGCCUGGAGAAUCCCAUGGACAGAGGAGCCUGGCGGGGUACAGUGGGGUCACCAAGCACCAGGCAUGACUGAGCAACAGUCACUUCACUUCGGGUUCACUUGGUGUUAGAGUCCGCCUGCCAAUACAGGAGACACAGGUUCAGGCCCUGGUCUGGGGGGAUCCCACAUGCCGAGGAGCAGCUGGGCCUGUGUGCAGCGGCUAUCGAGCUUGUGCUCUAGAGCUCGGGAGCCACAGCCAGUGAUGCCAGAGCACCCUAAAGCCCCUGCUCUGCAACAGGAGAGGCCACGGCAUUGAGCAGCCCUCAUACCGCUGCUGGGGAGUAGCCCCUGCUCGCUGCAACUAGGGAAAAAACCAUGUAACAACGAAGACCCAGC